UACGUAGGGGGCAAGCGUUAUCCGGGAUUAUUGGGCGUAAAGAGUACGUAGGCGGGAGAUUAAGCGCAGGGUUUAAGGCAAUGGCUUAACCACUGUAUGCCCUGUGAACUGAUCUUCUUGAGUGCAGGAGGGGAAAGCGGGAUUCCUAGUGUAGCGGUGAAAUGCGUAGAUAUUAGGAGGAACACCAGUGGCGAAGGCGGCUUUCUGGACUGUAACUGACGCUGAGGUACGAAAGUGUGGGGAGCGAACA
rnacentral:rRNA from 1 species